GCCAGUGUGGUGCAGUGGUUUGAGCGUUGGAUUAUGACUCUAGAGAUCAGGAUUCAAAUUCUGCUUGGCCA